UCAUCUCCGGGGGUAGAGCACUGUUUCGGCAAGGGGGUCAUCCCGACUUACCAACCCGAUGCAAACUGCGAAUACCGGAGAAUGUUAUCACGGGAGACACACGGCGGGUGCUAACGUCCGUCGUGAAGAGGGAAACAACCCAGACCGCCAGCUAAGGUCCCAAAGUCAUGGUUAAGUGGGAAACGAUGUGGGAAGGCCCAGACAGCCAGGAUGUUGGCUUAGAAGCAGCCAUCAUUUAAAGAAAGCGUAAUAGCUCACUGGUCGAGUCGGCCUGCGCGGAAGAUGUAACGGGGCUAAACCAUGCACCGAAGCUGCGGCAGCGACNNNNNNNNNNNNNNNNNNNNNNNNNNNNNNNNNNNNNNNNNNAUGCUGGAGGUAUCAGAAGUGCGAAUGCUGACAUAAGUAACGAUAAAGCGGGUGAAAAGCCCGCUCGCCGGAAGACCAAGGGUUCCUGUCCAACGUUAAUCGGGGCAGGGUGAGUCGACCCCUAAGGCGAGGCCGAAAGGCGUAGUCGAUGGGAAACAGGUUAAUAUUCCUGUACUUGGUGUUACUGCGAAGGGGGGACGGAGAAGGCUAUGUUGGCCGGGCGACGGUUGUCCCGGUUUAAGCGUGUAGGCUGGUUUUCCAGGCAAAUCCGGAAAAUCAAGGCUGAGGCGUGAUGACGAGGCACUACGGUGCUGAAGCAACAAAUGCCCUGCUUCCAGGAAAAGCCUCUAAGCAUCAGGUAACAUCAAAUCGUACCCCAAACCGACACAGGUGGUCAGGUAGAGAAUACCAAGGCGCUUGAGAGAACUCGGGUGAAGGAACUAGGCAAAAUGGUGCCGUAACUUCGGGAGAAGGCACGCUGAUAUGUAGGUGAGGUCCCUCGCGGAUGGAGCUGAAAUCAGUCGAAGAUACCAGCUGGCUGCAACUGUUUAUUAAAAACACAGCACUGUGCAAACACGAAAGUGGACGUAUACGGUGUGACGCCUGCCCGGUGCCGGAAGGUUAAUUGAUGGGGUUAGCGGUAACGCGAAGCUCUUGAUCGAAGCCCCGGUAAACGGCGGCCGUAACUAUAACGGUCCUAAGGUAGCGAAAUUCCUUGUCGGGUAAGUUCCGACCUGCACGAAUGGCGUAAUGAUGGCCAGGCUGUCUCCACCCGAGACUCAGUGAAAUUGAACUCGCUGUGAAGAUGCAGUGUACCCGCGGCAAGACGGAAAGACCCCGUGAACCUUUACUAUAGCUUGACACUGAACAUUGAGCCUUGAUGUGUAGGAUAGGUGGGAGGCUUUGAAGUGUGGACGCCAGUCUGCAUGGAGCCGACCUUGAAAUACCACCCUUUAAUGUUUGAUGUUCUAACGUUGACCCGUAAUCCGGGUUGCGGACAGUGUCUGGUGGGUAGUUUGACUGGGGCGGUCUCCUCCUAAAGAGUAACGGAGGAGCACGAAGGUUGGCUAAUCCUGGUCGGACAUCAGGAGGUUAGUGCAAUGGCAUAAGCCAGCUUGACUGCGAGCGUGACGGCGCGAGCAGGUGCGAAAGCAGGUCAUAGUGAUCCGGUGGUUCUGAAUGGAAGGGCCAUCGCUCAACGGAUAAAAGGUACUCCGGGGAUAACAGGCUGAUACCGCCCAAGAGUUCAUAUCGACGGCGGUGUUUGGCACCUCGAUGUCGGCUCAUCACAUCCUGGGGCUGAAGUAGGUCCCAAGGGUAUGGCUGUUCGCCAUUUAAAGUGGUACGCGAGCUGGGUUUAGAACGUCGUGAGACAGUUCGGUCCCUAUCUGCCGUGGGCGCUGGAGAACUGAGGGGGGCUGCUCCUAGUACGAGAGGACCGGAGUGGACGCAUCACUGGUGUUCGGGUUGUCAUGCCAAUGGCACUGCCCGGUAGCUAAAUGCGGAAGAGAUAAGUGCUGAAAGCAUCUAAGCACGAAACUUGCCCCGAGAUGAGUUCUCCCUGACUCCUUGAGAGUCCUGAAGGAACGUUGAAGACGACGACGUUGAUAGGCCGGGUGUGUAAGCGCAGCGAUGCGUUGAGCUAACCGGUACUAAUGAACCGUGAGGCUUAACCUU
rnacentral:rRNA from 1 species